UACGGAGGAUGCGAGCGUUAUCCGGAUUUAUUGGGUUUAAAGGGUGCGUAGGCGGGAUGCCAAGUCAGCGGUAAAAAUGCGGUGCUCAACGCCGUCGAGCCGUUGAAACUGGCGUUCUUGAGUGGGCGAGAAGUAUGCGGAAUGCGUGGUGUAGCGGUGAAAUGCAUAGAUAUCACGCAGAACCCCGAUUGCGAAGGCAGCCUUCCGGCGCCCUACUGACGCUGAGGCACGAAAGCGUGGGUAUCGAACAGG
rnacentral:rRNA from 1 species